GCUAGGAAAGCACCCUUGGUGUCCCAUAUCCAGUGUGGUGACCUGUAUCCCAGGGGACCAUCGGGAGUCUCCAAACAAGCCAUGCCUUCCUCCAGCGCAUCUCCACCUGUGCUUCACUUCUGCCUGUGCCAUCCCUCCUUUCCCCACCGGGCCACUGCCAGUCACCCUGAGACAGUCAGCUCCUGGGUUACUCUUGCAGGAAACAUCCUCGGGUGCCCUGGACAUCAGUGACUGCCUCCCUGCCACACUAGACCACUGGGCCACCACACUGACAUAUGCUGCCACCGUGAUCUGUGUGGAUGUUAGACUCCUCCCCUAGGUUCCGAGCUCCUAAGGUGCAGAAAUCACUUAGAGGAUUUCCAGACUGAAGUGCUAUUUCAUGACAAGAGCACUACUCUCCCAAGCCCUUCUAUUGAAUACCACUGACUCUUUUAAUAUUAGUGUCCAGCCAUUAGUCCUUCCUUCAAAGAGACAGGGGAAUUAACAUUCGUUGCAUGACCAGAGACCAUACUAAGCAUGUAUUAGACAUCCAAUAAAUAGUUACUGAAUGAAUAGUAA